rnacentral:rRNA from 1 species
CAGCCCCUCGAGUGGUGGGGAUGAUUAUUUGGCCUAAAGCGUCCGUAGCCGGCCGGGUAAGUCUCCCGUUAAAUCCAGCGUCUCAAGCGUUGGACUGCGGGAGAUACUGCCUGGCUAGAGAGUGGGAGAGGUCAGCGGUAUUCUGGGGGUAGGGGCGAAAUCCUUUGAUCCCCGGAGGACCACCAGUGGCGAAGGCUGCUGACUAGAACACGUCUGACGGUCAGGGACGAAAGCUGGGGUAGCGAACCGGAUUAGAUACCCGAGUAGUCC